rnacentral:tRNA from 2 species
AAAUAGAAAGUAAAAUUUACAUUUAGUUUCGACCUAAAAUUUGGCCUUUUUAAAUAGCCUCUAUUUA